GAUGAACGCUGGCGGCGUGCCUAAUACAUGCAAGUCGAGCGAACAGACGAGGAGCUUGCUCCUCUGACGUUAGCGGCGGACGGGUGAGUAACACGUGGAUAACCUACCUAUAAGACUGGGAUAACUUCGGGAAACCGGAGCUAAUACCGGAUAAUAUAUUGAACCGCAUGGUUCAAUAGUGAAAGACGGUUUUGCUGUCACUUAUAGAUGGAUCCGCGCCGCAUUAGCUAGUUGGUAAGGUAACGGCUUACCAAGGCAACGAUGCGUAGCCGACCUGAGAGGGUGAUCGGCCACCCGGGAACUGAGACACGGCCCAGACUCCUACGGGAGGCAGCAGUAGGGAAUCUUCCGCAAUGGGCGAAAGCCUGACGGAGCAACGCCGCGUGAGUGAUGAAGGUCUUCGGAUCGUAAAACUCUGUUAUUAGGGAAGAACAAAUGUGUAAGUAACUAUGCACGUAUUGACGGUACCUAAUCAGAAAGCCACGGCUAACUACGUG
rnacentral:rRNA from 1 species